rnacentral:piRNA from 1 species
CAAACGCUCGUUUCCCUUUGA